CAAUAUUUUUCUUUUCUCUCCGCCGCCCCAGUUUCUUUCUCCUAUCUCUGGGCGUAUCCUUCUCGUUGUUAUGCGAAGAUUCAAAUACCUUGUAAACGUAACUUCUAAAGAAGUUUACGUCUAUGAUGGUUUAUAUAAAACUUCAGCAGCUCUAUCUCAGAUCAGAAAAAUAUAAUAUUUCAGAAAUAGAGUGUCGCUCUGAGUUUGACCAUCCAAUUGUCAUGUUCAUCCAAAGAAGAUUUGAUGGAGUAGAAAAAAGGAUGGUAGGAUGUGGUGGGCGGUGGUGGCAUUGAUGUCUGAAAAAUUGUUGGAAUUUCCGUCCGACAAUGAAGAAUGUGUAAUUUCUUUUUCUUUUAAUAAUUGUACAUAGUUUACUUAGGAUUACAUUCACUUUCUCCCCCAUGUUUGAAAUAAGAUUUUAGAACUAGUGAGGAGUUGUGUAAGAGUGAUCAAUGUAAUUCCCCCAUGAUUGAAAUAAGAUUUUAGAACUAGUGAGGAGUUGUGUAAGAGUGAUCAAUGUAAUUGUAACUUAAUGAAAUAAAAUUAAAUUUGUUGAA